GGCGGGGCCAGCGGCGCGCACCACCCAGCGCGGGGGGGAGCGGGCGCAGAAAGUGCCUCCCCCCAGGCCGGAGCGGAAUGGAGGCGUCGGGCGGGAAGCGGGCCGUGAGGGAGCAGCGCCCGGGGGCGAUUUGUCCUGUGAAAUGGGAAUGCCCAGUCCUUGGAAGUGUUCCAGGCCAGGCUGGAUGGCGCUCAGAGGAACCUGGCCUAGUGGAAAUUGUCCCUGCCCAUGGCAGGGGCUGGAACGAGAUGGUCUUCAAGGAACGAGAUGGCCUUUGAGGUCCCUUCCAACCCGUGUCAUUUAUAGUAUACUUGAUAUAAAUGAUGUAUGUGAUAUAUAGUUGCCUCCUUCAGGGUUAGUUUCCCCCCCGUUUUUUCCAGACCCAGUUUACCUUAUUUUGAAGAGCAGUCCUUUGUCAUCCUGAUGGUACCACCCGACUGAUGAGGAUGUCAUCUGCAAAUUGGAUUAGGGCUGAUUCUGUAUUUACUUCCAAAUGACUAAUGAAAAUAUUGAUUACGUAUGUGUGUAGUACAGCACAGAUGAUCCUGGAGGGUCCUAUUAGAUGUAGCCUUAUUCAAUAGUGAUUUAUAACCACUUAUAAAAAAAUAAUCUCUGUGACCAGUGUUUAAUGUAUUCUUCACUGAUGCUUUAUUACCCCGUUUAAUUAAAAUAUUGUGCAGUUCUAAGUAAAAA